CUGAUAAUCGCGUUUGGGUAAUUUGCGGACUGCAAAACCCAAUUUCCCUAACAAUCCCCACUAAUAUGGAUAUUGUAGAGGGACAACGCGUUUCUGUCAG
ncrna:unclassified sequences L4-Archaeoglobi ribosomal protein leader